rnacentral:rRNA from 1 species
CGGGAGGCAGCAGUGGGGAAUUUUCCGCAAUGGGCGAAAGCCUGACGGAGCAAUACCGCGUGAGGGAAGACGGCCUAUGGGUUGUAAACCUCUUUUUUCAGGGAGGAAUUUUGACGUGUACCUGAAGAAUAAGCAUCGGCUAACUCCGUGCCAGCAGCCGCGGUAAGACGGAGGAUGCAAGUGUUAUCCGGAAUCACUGGGCGUAAAGCGUCUGUAGGUGGUUUAAUAAGUCAACUGUUAAAUCUUGAGGCUCAACUUCAAAAUCGCAGUCGAAACUAUUAGACUAGAGUAUAGUAGAGGUAAAGGGAAUUUCCAGUGGAGCGGUGAAAUGCGUAGAUAUUGGAAAGAACACCGAUGGCGAAAGCACUUUACUGGGCUAUUACUAACACUCAGAGACGAAAGCUAGGGUAGCAAAUGGGAUUAGAUACCCCAGUAGUCCUAGCCGUAAACAAUGGAUACUAGAUGUUGAACAGAUCGACCUGUGCAGUAUCAAAGCUAACGCGUUAAGUAUCCCGCCUGGGAAGUAUGCUCGCAAGAGUGAAACUCAAAGGAAUUG